UGCAUCGUUCUCCCUUGGUUGGAGAAAACUCAAGUUUCCCAAGUGCAGAAGAAUCAAAAACUAAAUUCUGAGAACAAACAACUCUAUCUUCUUGGUUGGUGGCAAUAAGAUUGAAAUGAAGAACAUUCUUUCAUUCACAUCCUUGCAAACAUGUGAACAGAUAAUCGGCUGCAAUUAAAGUUGAAAUGCUCUUCAAUGCACUAGAAACAACAGAAUUACUUAAAUUUUCAAUUUCCAUUACCUUCUCAACAGUUUGUCUUUCUUCUUUCCCUAGGAUCAGAUCCCUAGGCUCAUGUUGAUUCUUAUUAGCUUCUUUCUUCAGAAUAGAUUCCUCAAAAUUUUCUGUCUCAGUCUCAGCCUUAUCGUUGUGGAUUUUAGCACAUGAAGGCUCAAAAAUCAACUUCAGAUUCUUCAAGUUGAAAAUAAAAAAUUUUGAAGAGAAAACAAUUCCCAAUUUUAUCCAUUCUCAAAUUAAUUGUUGAUCAUAGAAAAGUCUACCAAACCAAUUCAAACUUCCAAAAUAAAAUAAAAUGCCA
rnacentral:misc_RNA from 1 species